CAUGCAUCCAAUAUAUAUUAUCUUUCACAUGAUAUUAAAUAUUAAAUUAAAAACAGACAAAUUUUUCAGAAUGUUUGUCAUCUCUCAUUAGCUCGUAAUGAGAUACUUUUGAUUUAUUUAAUGCAUGUCCUCUAACUGUCACCUGAUAGCAUAGGGGAAAAAUAUAUAGGUGAAAAUCACUGGAAAACGCUUUCUGUUUGGUACCAUGUUUUGGAGACAGCCUCAAUAAGUUUAUAUGUAUAAGACGUAGUCAUGACAUGAAUUCUUAAGAGCGAUGCCCCAUUUUUAGGUUAUGUCCGUAGCAGUUCAUAAAUAGAGAAGUCAAACUGCGAUAUAGAAGUCUCUUCCUUAUGAAUAAACAUGGAUAAAUUAUAAAAAAUAUCAAAGGAAUAUUUUAUAGGUUAUUUAUAAAAAAAAAGAUGUUAAAAUAAUUUUUUGAAAAAUUAAAUAUUGUUAAACGAAGAAUGACUUUUAAAACGUGAUAAUUUUGCUCAGUGAUUAGAAAAAUAAUACAUAAUUGUUUAUCAAGUAAACAGUAGUCUGAUCAAGAGCUGAUGUUAGUGAAUUAUCAAUAUUAACUAAUAUUGGACAUUGCUUAUGGAGUAAGUUGAACAAAUUUCUAAAACUAAUUUAAGAAGAAUUUUGCGAAAUAUAUUUGAAUUAUUAUUAAUUCUUACAUAAUUAAAAAACGAAAUUCUAUUUUCAAAAUCCCAUAAACAAAUAAAUCUCAAGAAAUCAAAAUUCCAAACAAUGUAACAAUAUAUAAAAAGAUUUUAUAUAAUUCUAAUAAUAUUAAGAUUUAAAACUUUUUUUUUCAGAAACAAAAUUUUAUUUUCAAAAUCUUAUGAAUAAAUAAUAAAUGAAUAAAUAAUUUCAAAAAUCAAAAUUUCAAAUCUGAAAAGAAAAAAUAAAACUUUAUAAAGCAAUUUUACUUGCAACUUGCAAGUAAUAACAAAUACAUGAAAAAUAUCCAAAAAGCUUUUUUGUAUGAUUUAAUAGCAUUAUGGGACUGGAAACGUUCAAGAUUACCAGAACCAGUUAAUCUGAAAACCUGUACAAAUAUAUAUCCGACUAACAAGGGAUGGGAUUCUACCAAUGAAUAUUACUUCUCCGAUUAUUAAUUCCAUUAAUAUAUCUCAACCGUUUCGACCGUUAUAAUACCGUUAAAAUUAUACUAAUAAAUCGUCCUGAUAAUCCCGCCAUUAACGUGUACCUCGCCUCGUUUUAUCGACAGCGUUUGUCGUUUCGCGAGUCAUUGUCGCGGAAAAUAUCCGCUCCGCCAGUCUGGUUGGAUUGUUCACCCAUUUACAGGGUAGAAAUCUCGUAUGAUAGAAACCACUGUAUUGUACUAAGUGCCAUGAAGAUAAAUUUGUUCAUUCGUCUUGUAAAAACAUGUCCAAUCAUUGGAAAAAGCUUCUCAAAAGUGC